GAGUAAUAUAUCGGAACGUGCCCGGUCGUGGGGAUAACGUAGCGAAAGCUACGCUAAUACCGCAUACGAUCUACGGAUGAAAGCGGGGAUCGCAAGACCUCGCGCGAUUGGAGCGGCCGAUAUCAGAUUAGGUAGUUGGUGAGGUAAAGGCUCACCAAGCCGACGAUCUGUAGCUGGUCUGAGAGGACGACCAGCCACACUGGGACUGAGACACGGCCCAGACUCCUACGGGAGGCAGCAGUGGGGAAUUUUGGACAAUGGGCGCAAGCCUGAUCCAGCAAUGCCGCGUGCAGGAUGAAGGCCUUCGGGUUGUAAACUGCUUUUGUACGGAACGAAACGGUGAGCUCUAAUACAGUUUGCUAAUGACGGUACCGUAAGAAUAAGCACCGGCUAACUACGUG
rnacentral:rRNA from 1 species